CAGAGAAUUUCGCCCUACCGGGUGAAUCUCCAACCCUAUGUUAUAUACCCUUUGUUGCCUUGGCGGGCCGCUUCGGCCACCGGUUUCGAUCGGUGAGCGCCCGUCAGAGGACCCUAACUCUGUUUUUAAUAUUGUCUGAGUACUAUAUAAUAGUUA
rnacentral:misc_RNA from 1 species